GAUGAACGCUGGCGGCGUGCCUUAUACAUGCAAGUCGAGUGGGUUUAGACCCACGGCAAACGGGUGAGUAACACGUAGGUACUUUCCUUGUCACAGGAAUAACCCUCCGAAAGGAGGGCUAAUACCUGAUGUGAUCGCAAGAUUAAAGGGUAUCCGCAAGGUUUACCGGACAAGAAGAGGCCUGCGGCCUAUCAGCUAGUUGGCGGGGUAAAUGCCCACCAAGGCUAUGACGGGUAGCUGGUCGUACGAGGAUGAGCAGUCACAUGGGCACUGAGGCACGGGCCCAAAUCCUUCGGGAAGCAGCGGUAGGGAAUUUUGCGCAAUGGGCGAAAGUCUAGCGCAGCGACGCCGCGUGCAGGAUUUAUGCCUUCAGGUCGUAAACCGCUUUUAUAAGGGACGAACUUUGACGGUACCUUAUGAAUAAGAGGGUGCUAACUCUGUG
rnacentral:rRNA from 1 species